UACAGAGGAGCCAAGCGUUGUCCGGAUUGACUGGGCGUAAAGCGCACGCAGGCGGAUGCGCGCGUGGGGUGUGAAAUCUGGCCGCUUAACGGCCAGGCGCCAUCCCAUACGGCGCGUCUGGAGUGAUGCAGAGGUCGGUGGAAUUGCCGGUGUAGUGGUGAAAUGCGUAGAUAUCGGUAGGAACACCAGUGGCGAAGGCGGUCUCCUGGGGCAUUCUUGACGCUGAGGCGCGAAAGCUGGGGGAGCGAACGGG
rnacentral:rRNA from 1 species